UUUUUAUUGAUUCAUUAUUAACACUUUAUUAAUGCUUUAUUAAUGCUUGCCGGCAUAUAUAUUGAAAUAUCCUCAAGUAAUUGUUUGCAAAACAUUGAAACAGUGGAAGAGUAUUUAUACUACACAUACAGUGAAACAAAAUGAGUUGCCCAUGGGGGGAGAAAAUUCUAAUAAUUUUGUCCAGAGACAGGCUUGUCAAAAACACUCUAGUCCUCUCCAGAAGAUAGAAUAAACAUUUUUGGACCAGUACAUUGGUGUGAAAACACUUCUAAACAUAACCAACAUUUUCAGACAUAGUGACAGGAGCAAUUAUGAUUAUCAACCUUGCUUAAGUACAAAAUUACAAAUGUUUCCUGGCUUGAGAUUUCAACUAAUAGGCUAUCUGGUUACUGGUCUGGUUACUGGCCAGAUGUUCUAAUCACUAGCCAGUGUGGUUACUGAUUAAAUACUCUAACCCACAGGCAAUCUGGUUACUGGUCAGAUAGGCUGCGAGUUAAAGUAUCUAGUUACUGGUCAGAAAGGCUGUGAAUUAAAGUAUCUAGUUACUGGUCAGAUGUUUUGCCACUGAGACUUUCAAAAAUAGAUAUGGUGAACCUGAUUAAACAAAUAAUACAAAAUUAAUUGUCCAUUCUUAAUUGAUCAAAUUGACUCAACAUCCAAUGUAUUUUUGAAAAGGGUGUAGACCUCUACAUUAACCAGCCAGAUUAAAGAUUAAAGUAACAUUUUCGAAAGAUAAAGUGCACGAUUUCUGGCAACAGGUUGUCAAAUUGCCACUGUCGAGCCAAGAAUUGUCCGUGAACAUUUUCUACUAUUGUCAUGUACUUGCUGAUUUGUGCCCCAUGUCAUCAAGAUCAUUUCAAACUUGGAAUGUAAAAGCUAACUGAGGCAUGGUAGGAAUUCUUCUACAAAUUACACACAUAUAAACAACAUAUUACAUGCUUUUUGUUAAUCGCAAAACUCCCAGACUGAAUCUUAAGGGGAGGGUCUGUAACCUUCUCACUUAUAUUUAUUCACAAUAUUUUGAUGAUCCUUAACCAUGGUGUCAUCUAUAAAAGGUUUUUUAAGUAUUCAGAAACAUCUUCAGUGUUCAGUGAUUCCAAAAUGGCAAAAUAAAUGUUUCAACAUUCAGUUCAGCUUGAUAUCGUAAUUGCACAAAACAAAUAUGGGACAAACAUAGGACUAAUCGUAUUUAGCUGAUUCAUUUAGAGAUUCAAACACUAUGCAGGACAGUUGUUUUUUAUUCAACAUUUAUAUGAAAUACAGAAAAUAACAUAUUCAACUAAGAAAUUCCGAAAAUGGUAUUCUCUAAAUUUCUCUUAAAACUGUACCCCAUUUCAGCCACACAAAACAAAUCUAGAUUUAUGGCAUUUGUAAAUGAGCUAGUGACAGCAUUUUCUAGAUCUUACACAAUGUUAUAGCUAAACCUUCCUUACGUAGGGAAGACGAGCUUUACAGAAAACAUCCCUGUUCAAAGUGUGAACUGGCGGUGCAGCUCACCCCCCUCCCCGCCCUCUCAGGCCAGGCCGCCUCCGUGUUUGCUCAUCUAAUUACAGGGGAGUGGCUGACUGACGGGCCAGCCGUCCCAAAAAAACCCUCCAGGCUAGGGGCUGGGAACGCAACAAACACCCACCCAGCACUGUCUCCAAAAUGUGACGGCAGCAACGUCCAACUGUCAUGGGGGAGCCUUGACUGGCAAAACGCGAAGGCCCAAAGAGAGAUAUUAAAGACAUGAGAGGAAUUGGCAGCGUCGGCACUAACAGGGGGUACACUUGAGAAGUCGAAGCAGGGAGCUGUGGGCAUCGCCAAAGUGUCAGUCAAAGGAAAGUGGGGUUUGGAAAAGGCACAAACACAGACUGACUCACACAGGAGCACUUUUCUCUUUCACUCUCCUAAAAGACAAUAUAUUCAGAAAGGGUAGAGAAGGAAAACCAACAAGGAAAUAGUUUACUGUUAUUGUAUUUCAGACCACAAAGUAUAAAGAUAAGAAGUGUGUCAGUGAGUGUUUGUGUGUGUGUGUGUGUGUGUGUGUGUGUGUGUGUGAGUGUGUGCUCACCUUUCUCACAGGGAGGUAUAAUCCACUGGGGGUUUAAAUGCUCCACUGCUGUCAGGAGGCCUGACAGAAUACCUCAGGGAGCCUGGUAGCUGACCCCCAUCCAUAUUCAGGUCUGACAAACAAAACAGACCUGCACAGGAGGUUAACAUGGAAAAACCACCACUUAACUGGCUCUCUCUCCCAAGGCCUGAGAUCUCAUCAAUCCCUCUAACACUCACCUCACCCUGAGAGGCAAGACAAGAAACCAUUUGAUAGGAAUCAUGAAUAAUCACAGUUGUGCAAGCGCGCUGUGCCCAUUUCUUAAAUGCAUUAUGGGGAUUACACACAAAAUCACACAAUGUAACAUUUUCAAAUGUGUUAUGAAUGCUUCCCGGAAUCCAAUUCAAAUCCUAGGUUACCAAAUAAGCCUGAACAAAUCCUCCACAUUGAGUUUUUACUCCUUUGAACUCUGUAACGGAGAGGUCCAGUCUGCAGGGCAGGUUUUACCAUGCCAGGCACAGACAGACCCCUCAACCCCAGGAUAGAGAUUGGGCUAGCCUAACACUGGGAGGGUGGGGGAGAGAGAGGGCUAGCCUAACACUGGGAGGGUGGGGGAGAGAGAGGGCUUGCCUAACAGUUGGAGGAUGGGGGAGAGAGAGGACUAGCCUAACACUGGGAGGGUGGGGGAGAGAGAGGUCUAGCUUAGCACUGGGAGGGUGGGGGAGAGAGAGGUCUAGUCUAACACUGGGAGGGUGGGGGAGAGAGAGGUCUAGUCUAACACUGGGAGGGUGGGGGAGAGAGAGGUCUAGCUUAGCACUGGGAGGGUGGGGGAGAGAGAGGUCUAGUCUAACACUGGGAGGGUGGGGGAGAGAGAGGUCUAGCUUAGCACUGGGAGGGUGGGGGAGAGAGAGGUCUAGUCUAACACUGGGAGGGUGGGGGAGAGAGAGGUCUAGCCUAACACUAGGAGGGUGGGGGAGAGAGGUCUAGCCUAACACUGGGAGGGUGGGGGAGAGAGAGGUCUAACCUAGCACUGGGAGGGUGGGGGGGAGGUCUAGCCCUAGCACUGGGAGGGUGGGGGAGAGAGAGGGCUAGCCUAGCACAGGUAGGGUGGGGGAGAGAUGGCUAAGAUUGCACAGGGUGGUUGGGUUAGAGCGAGGGCUAGCCUAACACUGGGAGGAUGGGGGAAAGAGAGGGCCUCACUUAGAAAGUGAGUUACUUGAGAGAGAAAAAGAUAGGAAGAGAAAAUAAGAGUGAGUGAGAGAGAGAACUAGCAUGCCCUGUACAUGUAUGCUCAGGUCCACAGGAUGGCUGGUUGCAGAAGGUACUGCUGCUUGGCAGUUAAGUAAGCAAAGAUAUAUUUAUUUUCACACUGCUUUUGGCUGGAGGGUAAGUCAGCCUUACUAUUAGUCAACCAGGUUGUUGUAAAACCAAACACACGAGUUUGAGUACAAUGGACUUGAUGCAUGAAUAGCAUUAAAAAUAUUGGCAUGACAUAUCAUCAAUUAAAAUCAUUUUAAUAUAACAUCUUAACACUCAUGAGUCACACUCAAGAGCGAAUAUUGAGGCAUUGCUCCUACAGUGACCUUAUGAACAGAAACAAAGUAUGAAUCUGGCUUCACCUUGAGUUUUAUUUUUUAUCCUGUAUAAUUUGUCCUUGUUGGAUUUCCACGGGUCUUGACUUUGCUCCCUCAUUUAGAUGGUCUGAAGGAGAGUCUAUUAAAUUGAUUCCAUGUGUUUGUUGCAGAGGCUCUGUGCAAACAAAAGACAAACAAUUACAGCACUGAUUAAUAGGCAUGCAAUAUUACGGCUGGAGCCACCUCAGCACACACUGAGCCCACAAACAUAUACUGUAUCGCCUCAGUGACUACCCAGCUUUAUGGAGGAGAAUACCAUUCUAUAAGUCUAAUACCCAUACAGUCAUGACUAUUACAGUGCUACCAUUUUAUGAGAAUGUUAUCAUAGAUAGCAGAUUUCUGAGAUAAGUCAAUACAGUAACCAAGUGAGAACACCAAUGCUGAUACAAUUGGGGGGGUUUUUCGACUUAAAUUUCAGCCCUAGAAAUGAAAUAUGCUCUAGAUGACUAAGUAUAUAUAAGACUCCGGGAAUUAUAAAACAACAAACAACAGAUACAACUUUUCAAGAGCAUACCUUAGUACCAGUAGUCUAGAUCAUUAUACCUAUCAAAUUUUAGCCAUGUUUUCAUCCUAUCACUACCCAUCUGUUCACACUCAUUGAAAACCCCACAUCAAAUCCUGAAUAAAUAUGGUAGAUAACAGUUUGCAGAUAGUAGAACUUCAACAACAGACAGUUUGUGAUUCUAUACAAUAUGAUUAUUAUGCAAAAUAGUAAAUAGACUCAUAUAUUUAGUACAUUAAUAAAAUAAAAGCAAUCGC
ensembl:lncRNA